GAAAGUCAGGAAGGGCGUACGGUGGAUGCCUAGGCUCUUACAGGCGAUGAAGGACGUGGUAAGCUGCGAAAAGCCGGGUAGAGGUGCAAACGACCUUUGACACCCGGAUUUCCGAAUGGGACAACCCGGCAGGUUGAAGACCUGUCACCAUAUUCAUUAUGGAGCGAACGCGGGGAACUGAAACAUCUUAGUACCCGUAGGAAGAGAAAACAAACGUGAUACCCCUAGUAGCGGCGAGCGAAGGGGGCAUAGCCCAAACCGUAGAGGUAUUUGCUUCUGCGGGGUUGUAGGACUGCCAAGAAUUGGUUAUAAAAACGAAGCGGAACGAUUUGGAAAGGUCGGCCAUAGCGGGUGACAGCCCCUUAUGCGUAAGUUUUUUUAUCAUCGGCAGCACCUGAGUAUCUCGGGACACGUGAAAUCCUGAGAGAAUCCGGCGGGCCCAUCCGCCAAGGCUAAAUACUCGUAAGAGACCGAUAGCGAACCAGUACCGUGAGGGAAAGGUGAAAAGCACCUCUUUUAGAGGAGUGAAAAAGUUCCUGAAACCGUACGCCUACAAGCGGUCGGAGCACUUUCUAGUGUGACGGCGUGCCUUUUGCAUAAUGAACCUACGAGUUACCGUCGUCGGCAAGGUUAAGUGCUAUGAAGCACGUAAGCCGAAGCGAAAGCGAGUCUGAAUAGGGCGCAUAGUCGGCGGUGGUAGACGCGAAACCAAGUGAUCUACCCUUGUCCAGGUUGAAGUCCCGGUAACACGGGAUGGAGGACCGAACCAAUAAGCGUUGAAAAGCUUCUGGAUGAGGUGAGGGUAGGAGUGAAAGGCCAAUCAAACUUGGAGAUAGCUCGUACUCCCCGAAAUGCAUUUAGGUGCAGCCUCGGGUAAGGUACUGAUGAGAGGUAGAGCGACUGAUUGGAUGCGAGGGCUUCACCGCCUAUCAAGUCCGGCCAAACUCCGAAUGCUCAUCAGCAACAUCCCGGGAGUGAGGGCAUGGGUGCUAAGGUCCAUGUCCGAGAGGAGAAGAAUCCAGAUCACCGGCUAAGGUCCCCAAAUAGCAGCUAAGUUGCAUUAACGAAGUCCGACCGCAGCGACAGCCAGGAUGUUGGCUUGGAAGCAGCCAUUCAUUUAAAGAGUGCGUAACAGCUCACUGGUCGAGGGGUCGGGCAUGGAUAAUAAUCGGGCAUAAGCUGUUUACCGAAGCCGUGAGAUCGAAAAGAUCGGUAGGGGAGCAUUCCAUUAUCAGCGUUGAAGAUGAGAGGUGACUCUUGUUGGAGCGGAUGGAAAAGCAAAUGCAGGUAUAAGUAACGAUAAAGGGGGUGAAAAACCUCCUCGCCGAAAGACCAAGGGUUCCUGAUCAACGCUAAUCGGAUCAGGGUUAGUCGGGACCUAAGGCUAAGCCGAAGGGCGAUGCCGAUGGAAGAACCGGUUAAUAUUCCGGUACUGCUUUGUGGAGUGAUGUGGAGACGGAGAAGUGACAGCUCGGCCAUCUGACGGAAUAGGUGGUUAAAGGGUGUAGACGUUGAUUGUUGUAGGCAAAUCCGCAACAAGAGUUGAACCUGACAGUAUGCAGCGUACUUGUACAAUGUAAUAAGAGCGUAAUCAGGCUCCCAAGAAAACCCGCUAAACAUAUCUUCAAAGCACCCGUACUCGAAACGGACACACGUGGUCGGGUUGAAAAUACUAAGGCGCUCGAGUGAUUCACGGUUAAGGAACUAGGCAAAAUGGUCCUGUAACUUCGGGAUAAAGGACGCCAAUAGCAAUAUUGGUCGCAGAGAAUAGGCCCAGGCGACUGUUUAACAAAAACACAUGACUAUGCGAAAUCGAAAGAUGAGGUAUAUGGUCUGACACCUGCCCGGUGCUGGAAGGUUAAGAGGAGAUGUCAUCCUGCAAGGGAGAAGCAUUGAAUUGAAGCCCCAGUAAACGGCGGCCGUAACUAUAACGGUCCUAAGGUAGCGAAAUUCCUUGUCGGGUAAGUUCCGACCUGCACGAAUGGUGUAACGAUCUGGGCACUGUCUCAACUGUGAGCUCGGUGAAAUUGUAGUAUCGGUGAAGAUGCCGAUUACCCGCGAUGGGACGAAAAGACCCCGUGAACCUUUACUAUAGCUUUACAUUGAAAUUGGGCAUGCGAUGUGUAGGAUAGGCCGGAGGCUGAGAGACGGUGACGCCAGUCAUCGUGGAGCCGCUGUUGAAAUACGGCCCUUUGUGUGUUUGGUUUCUAACUCCCGGGAAAGGGAGGACGGUGUAUGGUGGGUAGUUUGACUGGGGUGGUCGCCUCCAAAAGCGUAACGGAGGCUUCUAAAGGUACCCUCAGACCGAUUGGUAACCGGUCGCAGAGUGUAAUGGCAUAAGGGUGCUUGACUGAGAGACCUACAAGUCGAUCAGGUAG
rnacentral:rRNA from 1 species